rnacentral:rRNA from 1 species
UACGAAGGGGGCUAGCGUUGCUCGGAAUCACUGGGCGUAAAGGGUGCGUAGGCGGGUUCUUAAGUCAGGGGUGAAAUCCUGGAGCUCAACUCCAGAACUGCCUUUGAUACUGAGAGUCUUGAGUUCGGGAGAGGUGAGUGGAACUGCGAGUGUAGAGGUGAAAUUCGUAGAUAUUCGCAAGAACACCAGUGGCGAAGGCGGCUCACUGGCCCGAUACUGACGCUGAAGCACGAAAGCGUGGGGAGCAAACAGGG